GAUGAACGCUGGCGGCGUGCUUAACACAUGCAAGUCGAGCGAAGCACUUUACUUGGAUUUCUUCGGAAUGACGAGUAUUGUGACUGAGCGGCGGACGGGUGAGUAACGCGUGGGUAACCUGCCUCAUACAGGGGGAUAACAGUUAGAAAUGACUGCUAAUACCGCAUAAGACCACAGCACCGCAUGGUGCAGGGGCAAAAACUCCGGUGGUAUGAGAUGGACCCGCGUCUGAUUAGCUAGUUGGUGGGGUAACGGCCUACCAAGGCAACGAUAAGUAGCCGGCCUGAGAGGGCGACCGGCCACAUUGGGACUGAGACACGGCCCAAACUCCUACGGGCGGCAGCAGUGGGGAAUAUUGCACAAUGGGGGAAACCCUGGUGCAGCGACGCCGCGUGAAGGAAGAAGUAUUUCGGUAUGUAAACUUCUAUCAGCAGGGAAGAAAAUGACGGUACCUGACUAAGAAGCCCCGGCUAACUACGUGCCAGCCGCCGCCGUAA
rnacentral:rRNA from 1 species